GCACUUGUACUUUUUUCAUUAGAUCCAUAUACUUCUGCUUCAUCAAGAAUGCUCUCCAGCCACUCUGAAAACACAAGUAAAGCUGGUAAAAGGGGACAAGAGUCCAAGACAUUUGCCUUCAAACAUCUAUCAGCGAGGCGUCCCAUGAAAAUGAAUGUAGCAGUCAAUGCCUCUCGUAUCAACUCAAACUGUUGCAUAUCAUUCUUGUUCUUUGAAUCUCUUGCUUCUGGGCUACUUAUCAGAUUCUCAAUGACAAAGAUAAAUACAGAGACAACUUGAAGAUUCCGAAAGGGACCGCUUCUUGCUGAAUCCAUACGCUGAUAGGAUUCCAUUGCAGCUUUUAAUUGUACAUCGUCUAGUGCCAUCAAUGUGUCCAGCUCUUUUAUAGUAGAAGCAAAAGUAAAAGGGAAGUCCUCCAAACUGGAUUUUAUGAAGAAGAAACUUAUUGUUCUAAUGAAAA
rnacentral:misc_RNA from 1 species